rnacentral:rRNA from 1 species
UACGUAGGCAGCGAGCGUUGUUCGGAAUUACUGGGCGUAAAGAGUGUGUAGGCGGUGUUCCCAGUCUGUUGUGAAAUCUCCCGGCUUAACUGGAAGGGUGCAGCGGAAACUAGAAUGCUAGAGGGUGGGAGAGGUAAGCGGAAUUCCUGGUGUAGCGGUGAAAUGCGUAGAUAUCAGGAGGAACACCUGUGGUGUAGACAGCUUACUGGACCACUUCUGACGCUGAGACACGAAAGCGUGGGUAGCAAACAGG